rfam:Ictidomys tridecemlineatus contig092150, whole genome shotgun sequence.
GGGGUUGUGGCUCAGCGGUAGAGCGCUUGCCUCACACAUGCAAGACCCUGGAUCCAAUCCUCAGCACCA